GAUGAAGAACGUAGCGAAAUGCGAUACGUAAUGUGAAUUGCAGAAUUCAGUGAAUCAUCGAAUCUUUGAACGCACAUUGCGCCCCUUGGUAUUCCAUGGGGCAUGCCUGUUCGAGCGUCAUUUGUACCUUCAAGCUCUGCUUGGUGUUGGGUGUUUGUCUCGCCUCUGCGCGUAGACUCGCCUCAAAACAAUUGGCAGCCGGCGUAUUGAUUUCGGAGCGCAGUACAUCUCGCGCUUUGCACUCAUAACGACGACGUCCAAAAGUACAUUUUUACACUCUUGACCUCGGAUCAGGUAGGGAUACCCGCUGAACUUAAGCAUAUCAAUAAGCGGAGGA
rnacentral:misc_RNA from 1 species